rnacentral:rRNA from 1 species
UACGGGGGGGGCAAGCGUUGUUCGGAAUUACUGGGCGUAAAGGGCUCGUAGGCGGCCAACUAAGUCGGAUGUGAAAUCCCCAGGCUCAACCUGGGAACUGCAUCCGAUACUGGAUGGCUUGAAUUCGGGAGAGGGAUGCAGAGUUCCAGGUGUAGCGGUGAAAUGCGUAGAUAUCUGGAGGAAUACCGGUGGCGAAGGCGGCAUCCUGGACCGACAUUGACGCUGAGGAGCGAAAGCCAGGGGAGCAAACGGG